UAUAAGUGCAAUUGUGAUUUUUCGUAUCUAACAUUUGACCGUUCGUUUUAUUUGAAAAAAAUAUAAUUAGUAUUUUUGUUGUUAUUAGAUGAUAAAACAUGAAUAAUGCUUUAUGUGUGACUAUUUUUUUUAAAAAAAAUUCAUAAACUUUUCAAAUAAAACGGACGAUCAAACGUUGAACACGGAAACCACAAAUGUAUUUAUA
rfam:Oryza meridionalis cultivar OR44 (W2112) chromosome 4, whole genome shotgun sequence.